GCGGCUUUAGCUCAGCUGGAAGAGCAACUGGUUUACACCCAGUAGGUCGGGGGUUCGAUCCCCUCAGGCCGCACCA
rnacentral:tRNA from 44 species